ensembl:lncRNA GBX2-AS1 GBX2 and ASB18 antisense RNA 1
ACCGAGCGAAGCCUGCACCGUCUCGGCCGCGGAGAAGGCGAGCAGCGAGCCCUCUUUGGCCAGGAAGCCUUUGCCGUCCUCCGCGUCAGCCUGCAGCGCCUCCGCCUUGUCGAAGUUACCGCCGCCGGGCAGCGGCUGCGGCGCGAACUUGCGGGCCGCUGCCGCCUCCUGGUGCUGGGGCGACGCGGAGAAGCCGCCGGGGAGCGUGGCCAUGAGCGUAGAGGGAGGAUGCACGAUUUCUGUCCCAGUGGGAAGGGAUGGCCUUCCAGUGGACGUGACCUCCCCUGCAUGGGGUCGGAAGGAUGAGAUGGCAAAGGUGGCUUGUAAUGAGAAGCAAAAGAAAAGAAAAAGGAAAAAGAAGAUUCUAGGUGAUAAAUGAGCAUCUUCAUCACUUUAGCUCCGAAGGGCAGAGGAGCAUUGCCAGGUGAGCCUCAUCAGGCUGGACUCAACUGCUGGCAAAUUGGAAAGUAUUCUUUGUUUCAGAAGGUAAUGAGAAUUCGUUGCCAGGUCGUUAAACUUCGCUCCUUCCUGGAGGUGUGGGGAACGAAAACA